rnacentral:snoRNA from 1 species
AAGCCAGCCAAUUUACUUGAUGUGUUUCUGCAGAAAUUUAGAAACAGCUGGCAAAAGUGAUGCCAAGUCUUAAGGUCAAUUGAAGUCAUUACUGUCCCUCAAAAUGGCAACAAUA